rnacentral:rRNA from 1 species
GACGAACGCUGGCGGCGUGCUUAACACAUGCACGUCGAACGGGAAGGCCCUGCUUUUUUGGGUUGCUCGAGUGGCGAACGGGUGAGUAACACGUGAGUAACCUGCCCUUGACUUUGGGAUAACUUCAGGCAACUGGGGCUAAUACCGGAUAGGAGAUCCUGCUGCAUGGUGGGGGUUGGAAAGUUUCUGCGGUUGGGGAUGGACUCGCGGCUUAUCAGCUUGUUGGUGGGGUAGUGGCUUACCAAGGCUUUGACGGGUGGCCGGCCUGAGAGGGUGACCGGCCACAUUGGGACUGAGAUACGGCCCAGACUCCUACGGGGGGCAGCAGUGGGGAAUAUUGCACAAUGGGCGGAAGCCUGAUGCAGCAACGCCGCGUGCGGGAUGACGGCCUUCGGGUUGUAAACCGCUUUCGCCUGUGACGAAGCGUGAGUGACGGUAAUGGGUAGAGAAGCACCGGCUAACUACGUG